AUAUCGCUAUCUCUAUAUUUCUCGGAAGAAGAAAGAAGUGAACCAGCUGAUAUAACACAGCUGACACGGAAUUCAUCCUCUUGACUUUCUUGUUCGGUCGUUCUGAAAUUAAUGGCGUCGUAUCUGCCCUUGUAGGUCACCCGCGUCGCUUUGCCCCGUGAGAAUCAGUUCCAGUAAGCUGAAUUUUCGACAUUUCUCUAAUCAGUCCGAAGAACAAAAGAAUUUUGAGGUUUCUCUUUCAAAUCGAGUCCAUGAAGUGUUUUCAUUUCUCUAUUGGAGAGCGGGAGCAUAAGCCUCGAGUGAGUAAGAUGGCAUUGCGCCAUUCAAGCAGCAGCACGGCUUCGAAUGAUCAAGAUACGAAGAAAUCUGUGUCAGACAUGAGUACAGAUUCAACAGGGAGAUCUCAGUUCUCGAGUUUUUCUCAGAAGUUAAAUGAUCUUAAGAUCUUCAAAUACGAAGAACUGAAAGUUGCUACUCGGAAUUUCAGCCGUUCACAAAUGCUCGGAGAAGGCGGCUUUGGAUGCGUGUAUAGGGGCACGAUCAAGAAUCCUGUUGAUCUGCAUGAAAAUAUUGAGAUUGCUGUUAAGAAACUGAGCCGCGUGGGAUUUCAGGGACACAAGGAAUGGUUGACUGAGGUAAAUGUUUUAGGUGUGGUUGAGCAUCCAAAUCUUGUCAAAUUAGUUGGUUAUUGUGCUGAGGAUGAUGAAAGAGGAAUUCAGAGACUGCUUGUUUAUGAAUAUAUGCAAAAUAGAAGCGUUGAAUAUCAAUUAUCACUAAAAGUAUCCGCCAGUCUUUCAUGGGGCAUGAGAUUGAAGAUAGCUCUCGAUGCUGCUCGCGGUUUGACGUACUUACAUGAAGGGAUGGAAAUUCAAAUUAUUUUUCGAGAUUUCAAGCCCUCCAACAUUUUAUUGGAUGAGCAUUGGCAUGCAAAACUAUCUGACUUUGGCUUGGCGAGACAAGGUCCGGCAGAAGGAUUGACUCAUGUUUCAACUGCGGUGGUGGGAACUAUUGGCUACGCAGCGCCAGAGUACAUUCAGACCGGCCGUCUCACUGCAAAGAGCGACAUAUGGAGCUACGGCAUAUUCCUCUAUGAACUCAUCACCGGCCGCCAUCCCAUGGAUCGAAACCGGCCGAAGAACGAGCAGAAGCUCCUGGAAUGGAUCAAACCUUAUGUGACAGACGAAAAGAAGUUUCCCUUUAUCUUAGAUCCCAGGAUUAAAGCGAACUGCUCCGUGAAGUCUGCCAUGAAACUUGCUGCUGUAGCUAACAAGUGCCUGAUCAGGCAUCCUAAGUCGAGACCAAAGAUGAGUGAGGUCCUCCAAAUGGUGCAAUGUAUUUGUGAUGAUGAGAAAGCUGAAGAAACUCUGCAAACUCCGACAAAUGUGGCUGAGGAGGGAGCAGUGGCAUGCAGGAAGAAAAGAGGAGCAGACUCGAAGAUGUCGUGUGGAGGAUGGGCGUCGAAACUCAUUAGAGCGAAUUGAAUGGAUCCUUUCCAUUGGACUGCAAAGACGCUUCAACUCGCAUUGGCAUGAGAAAUCACGCCAGAACAAGUAUGGCCUCGCUUCUGUCUUAUCUUUGGGAAACCACUUGGAAGGCUCGGUCUUAAUGGUGUUCUUUUCGGUGAAAGGGAUGAUUUGCUCACUUCAGAGUUUGAUAGUUUCCUCCAUCCAGCAAAUAGCUUCUCCUUCGGUGGUGAUUACUUUGCUUCACAGCGAGAAGGAACUUUUUUUGGUUUGUGAUUUGCAUCUCUCUCCAAGUAAUGGUGUAGGAUGGCCUACGAAGGUUUUUCCUCGAAGCUCCCGGGAAAAGAUUAGUGAAGAAAAGCCGACGAGGGCAUACAUGUUGGUGUGGCAAAUAAAUUGAGGCCAAGAGGAAGGCCAAAGAAAAAAGUAAUUAAGAAUUUCUUAGAAAAUAACAUUAUAAGACAUAAAAAUGUCCAUAAAUUUUGUUGUUAUAGACUUUAGGGGCAUCACAAAACAACAUCCAAAAAAAUUUUUAGUUCUACAAAUUUCACAAAUUGAAAGUGCCUCCGUAUGCUCCUAACCAACAACAUGCUCUUUCACAGCUAGAGAUAGAAGAGUGAUCAUUUCAAAGAAAUAAGGAAGAUUUAGAUGCAUACCACUCAAUUCUUAUGUAUUAACAUAUUCUCAAAUCAAAUGUAUGAAGAUAUUGGC